GACGAACGCUGGCGGCGUGCUUAACACAUGCAAGUCGAACGGAAAGGCCCUGCUUGCAGGGUACUCGAGUGGCGAACGGGUGAGUAACACGUGGGUGAUCUGCCCUGCACUUCGGGAUAAGCCUGGGAAAUUGGGUCUAAUACCGGAUAGGAGCCAUUUUUAGUGUGAUGGUUGGAAAGUUUUUUCGGUGUAGGAUGAGCUCGCGGCCUAUCAGCUUGUUGGUGGGGUAAUGGCCUACCAAGGCGGCGACGGGUAGCCGGCCUGAGAGGGUGGACGGCCACAGUGGGACUGAGAUACGGCCCAGACUCCUACGGGAGGCAGCAGUGGGGAAUAUUGCACAAUGGGCGCAAGCCUGAUGCAGCGACGCCGCGUGGGGGAGGACGGCCUUCGGGUUGUAAACUCCUUUCGCUAGGGACGAAGCUUUUUGUGACGGUACCUAGAGAAGAAGCACCGGCUAACUACGUG
rnacentral:rRNA from 1 species